CCCUUUCCCUUCUCUCCGUCCGCAGCCCAGUAACCGCCGACCUUCUCCUCUUCUUCUUCCGUUCGCAGCAGCCGUCGGCCGCCACGUGACCGCUGCCCAGUCCAGAUCUGCGUCGUAGCCCAGCAACCGCCACCCCUAUUCCCUUCUUCCGCCGUGCGCCGCGACUUCCAUUUUCUUCCCGCUGCAGCCAGCCGCCGAUCCUCCCUUCCGUUUUCCUCCCGCCGUAGCCCAGCCGCAGCCAGCCGCCGCCGCCGAUCCUUCUCUUCCGUUGUCUGCACUGCCGCGCGACUUUCCGGCCGUCUGUAUACGGUCUCUCCGUCGCACGUCGUCUCUUCGCAAAGCUGCUGCUCGACUUCUUCCGCGAAUAACACCUUUGACGUCCGCGCAAUCAGGUUUUCAUUCGCUACCGUGAACCGAACUAAAGACCCCAGAUCCAACUUUCUGCGUGUCGAGUUCCUUCUUCGUCCUGCCGCAGGUAGCAAACCCACGUCAUUCGAUUGGGUUAUUCGUUGUCGUUCCUACUUUGCCACGAGUCAUUAAAUUCUGAUUGGUAAGAUUGAGGUUAUGAAAUUCGUAACUGUUUCCAAAAUAAACUCAAGUAAUAUUGCUGGACUAAUUGGUUGGAGAAAUCGUUUACUGUUCGGUUAUAGGUUGAAGGUAACGCUCGAAUUCCUUGGGUUCGCAGCAAACAAUCAUUCUAGUUGGAACUCGUUUCGCGAAGAUUUGGGUAAGUUGUAAAAAUUCACAUUGGAUUGAAUUUAAAUGAUUGAUGCGUUAAAGAGAAUUAUUGAGAAAUUUUCUUAAUGUUUAGGUUCGUUCUUCGUAGACUUCAACGUGGUUAAGGAGCUUAAACUAACUUGAAAGUAAGGGACUUUCUACUGGACUCACCUAAAGUUUUUGAGUUGUGUUGGACUGUAUGGAUGAUGAUUAAGAUGUACAUGUUUGGUUGCAGACUAAAUGUUUAGUGUAUGUUGUAUUUGACUGGAAACAUAUAUAUAUACAUUGAUGUGUGAAUUGAUGUGGAUUGCCGAAAGUAUACAUGUGAAUGACUGAAAUUAUGCUAAUGUGUACAUGAUUGAUAUUAAUAGAUUGUGCCUGUAUAAAGAUUUGGAUGUGAACUAGUGAAUUUGAUUCGGUUGGAUGUGGAUUAUACUGAACUGUGGUUUGUGCUGCGUGAACUGAGGGGUGUAUUGACUGUAUAGUUUGAUUGACUGACGUAUUAGUAUAUUAUUGACAGACAUAUGACUAAAGUGAGAUAAGUUGACUGUUAGGACGUCGAGAGAAAGAACUUUAUGUUUUGAAGUAACUGAAAGAUGGAUUGAAUGGAAUGAGGGGAUAAAUUGUUAGGUUGUAUUGGGAUGUUUACCUUGUAGGUGUCCCACGGGACCACCAAUUUAUUUUGCACCUUCGGGAGCAUUUGACUGAUAUGUGUUUCUGCAGAACACUUGACUAAUAUGUACGUCCCUCGGGGCGUUAGACUGAUAUGUACGUCCCUCGGGGCGUUAGACUGAGAUGUGUAUCCUACGGGAUCACAAGACUGCGACUGUACAGGGUGUCCCAAUAGAACUUUAACAAUUUAUUUUCCCCUGACGAGACCAGUAGAGGGUCUCUUACUGAGUAUUGUUAUACUCACCCUUCUUAUGUUUAAUUUUCAGGCAAAGGAAAUAAAGGUGGCAAACCGGCGAGGGGCAGGAAGGAAGCGUGAUUGCCAUAGGGAAUGUGUUAUUUUGCUUCCGCUUAUGAUUUCUUUUAAGGUUUAAGAUGUACUAAAACUUAGUUUACAAACUUUUAUUUGUAAAUAGUGUUAUUGUUAAGUUUUCUUGAAUAUUUGAAAAUCAGGCCUGACAUGUUUUGUUUUUAAAUUGACAUAUGUUUCAAUUUGUAUCAAUCAAAGUUUAUUUGUUAAAAAUUAACGACCUCGACUUACCCAGAAAAGUUGGGUCGUUACAGUUGGUAUCAGAGCCUAAGUUUUUGGUUCUGUAGACUGACUUACGAUGUAAGUCUAUGUUUUUGUGUCCCUAUGGCUAACGCGACCCUUCGUCUCUCGUCAGGUAUGCUUUAUGCUUAUAUGUAUGGUUUAUGUAUAUGACCUUGCCUAAGUUAAACUAGAAUUAAAUGAAUGUUAUGAUUUAAUGGUGAAAUUUAGGAAAAAUGUUGCCAUGUAGACGUGUUCAAAGGGGUGGUCGAGUAGUAGAAAAGUAAGACGUUGUUAGCGAAAUUGUCUGUUUUGUGAUUGGAAAUCUAAGAAAAAUAAGUUAUGUAGGUGGUUUUAAAGAGGACUAAAUACACGGUCAAGUUUAUACGAAACACAUUAAAUGGUUUUAGAAUGGAGGUAUUGGAAAAGAAACAAGGAAGAUGAGCAUGGUUGUCUUGAUGUGACUUUAAGAAACAAUUUUGAGUUUCUCGUGAAUGAAAAGUUACUAGUUUGGAGUUUGAAAAUUGGAAUGUAGUUUAACCAUGUAAACAUAAAAUGUAGCGAAAAUGUAGUUUCUAAUCCUUCUCCAGAGGCUAGUUUCAAGUACAAAGAGGUUGGAACUAUCGUUUCGCUAAAAGUUAUCCCAACUAUGAAGGUUAGUAAGUUGCUUGACCAGGGUACCUGUUGUAUUUGACUAGUGUGGUAGACACCAGAGAAGUCGAUGUUUCUUUGUUAUUUGAAUCAGUGGUGAAAAAGUAUUAUGAUAUUUUUCUAGAAGAGUUUCUAAGAUUACCGUGCUAAACAGAAAUUGGUCUUGUUAUUGAGAUAGAGUUAGACUCGUUCCUAUAUCUAAAGCUUCAUACAAAAUGGCCCCAACAGAGUUGAAAGAUUUGAAGGUGCAAUUGAAAGAAAUGUUUGACAAAGACUACAUUCGACGAAGUAUGUUAUCUUGGGGUGCACCAAUUUUUGUUUAUUAAGAAGAAAGAUGGGUCGAUGCACUUAUGUUUUGAUUGUAGAAAGUUGAAUAAGGUGUCGGUUAAGAAUAAAUAUCUUUUACCAAUGAAUGAGGAUUUGUUUGAUCAACUGCAAUAAGUCCGUGUUCUUUAAGAUUGAAUUACAUUCAGGUUAUGGCUUGUUGAGGAUUAGAGAACAGUGACAUUCCUAAGGCAGAUUUUCGUUCGAGAUAUGGACAUCAUGAGUUCAUUAUGAUGUCUUUUGAGUUGGCAAAUGCUCAAACAAUGUUUACGACUUGAUGAACAAAGUGUUUAACGAUCUCUUAGACACUUUCGUGAUUGUAUUUAUUGACGAUAUCUUAAUUUAUUCCAAAAUAGAGACAGCGCAUGAGGAGCAUUUAACAUGGUUUUAGAGGCUUUUCGAGUCAACAAAUUGUAUGCAAAGUUUUCAAAAUGUGAGUUUUGGAUGAAGCCAAGUAUCUUUCCAAGCCAUGUGGUAUCUAGAGGUGACAUUUAUGUGGAUCUCACAAAAGAUUGAAGUUGUUACUAGUUGGCCUCGACUUUUCAUAGUCAGUGAGGUUCAUAGUCUUUUGGGUUUAGCAGGUUAUUACUAACGGUUUGUAUAAGAAUUUUCUCGUAUAGCUACUCCUUUGACUCAGUUAACUAAGAAAAGGGACUCCGUUUUGUUUGGGACAAAGCCUAUGAGGAUAGUGUUCAGGAUCUUAAGCAGAAGCUUGUACAACUCCCGUGCUUACCGUACAUGAUGGUUCAGAAUGUUCCGUAAUUUAUAGUGAUGCUUUUAGGAAAGUUUAAAAGGUAUUCUUAUUCAACAAGUUAAAGUAGUUGCUUGUACUCCUCGUGAGGAAAAUUGUCCAACUUAUGAUAUGGAAUUGACAGUUGUGGUUUUUACAUUAAUGAUUUGAAGGCACUAUAUGUAUGAUGAAAAGAUAUAGAUAUUUUCUAACCAAAAGAGUAUAAAAUACUUCUUCACUCAAAAGAAGUUGAGUAUGAGAUAGCAAAGAUGGUUUCAGUUAGUAAAUGACUAUGAUUGUGAGAUUUUGUACCAUCUAGGUAAGGCGAAUGUGGAAGUUGGUGCUCUUCGUAGAAAAGUAUCACAUUUUGACAGCACUUAUUACCAGACAGGUUUCAUUAGACAAAAACCACGAGAGAGCUGAGAUUGUAGUUUUAGUGGGGGAAGUCACCUCACAGUUAGCUCAGCUGUCAGUACAUCCGAUCUUGAGACAAAGAAUUCUUGUGGUUCAAUUCAUUGAUCCUUAUUUGAUUGAGAAGCAUCGCCUAGUAGAAGUAGGGCAAGUUAAGGAGUUUUCCAUAUCCUUUGAUGAUGAACUUAUGUUUGAGAGAGAAUUAUGUGUGCCAACAGAAAAAGCAAUUAAGACAAGGUUAUUGGUUGAGACUCAUAGUUUCCCAUUUCUCAUGCAUCCAAGUAGCACAAAAAUGUAUCAGGAUCUAAAACGAUUUUAUUGGUGGCGGAAUAUGAAAAGAGAAGUAGCGGAAUUUGUUAGUAAGUGUCUAGUAUGUCAGCAAGUUAAGGCACCUAGACAGAAACCAGCAGGUUUGUUACAACCCUUAAGUGUGCCAGAGUGGAAGUGGGAGAAUGUGUCGAUGGAUUUUAUUUCAGGGCUGCCUAAGACCCUGAAGGGUUUCACAGUGAUUCUGGUUGUCAUAGACAGGCUGACGAAAUCGGCACAUUUUGUACCAGGGAAAUCCACUUAUACUGCUAGUAAGUGGGCAGAGUUGUAUUUAACUGAGAUUGUGAGACUGCAUGGAGUGCCUGUAUCGAUUGUUUCUGAUAGGGAUGCACGGUUUACUUCCAAGUUUUGGAAGGGACUUCAGACUGCUAUGGGUACGAGAUUGGAUUUCAGUACAGCCUUUCAUCCACAGACUGAUGGUCAAACUGAACGUUUGAACCAAGUUUUAGAGGAUAUGCUACGAGCUUGUGUUCUAGAGUUUUCAGGUAGUUGGGACUCUCAUCUACAUUUGAUGGAGUUUGCUUAUAACAACAGUUUCCAGGCUACCAUCGGUAUGACACCAUUUGACGCUUUGUAUGGCAAAUGUUGUAGAACCCCUGUUUGUUGGAGUGAGGUUGGUGAACAUAGGUUGAUGGGACCUGAAUUAGUUCGGUCUACUAAUGAGGCUAUUCAAAAGAUUAGAACGCGUAUGCAAACAGCGCAGAGUAGACAGAAGAGUUAUGCAGAUGUACGGCGAAAAGACCUUAAGUUCGAUGUGGGAGAAAAAGUAUUCUUGAAGGUAGCACCUAUGAAGGGUGUUAUGCGUUUUGAGAAGAAAGGGAAGUUAAGUCCUCGUUUUGUUGGACCAUUUGAGAUCUUAGAGAGGGUUGGUGUUGUGGCGUAUCGCUUGGCAUUACCACCAUCUCUCUCUGCAGUUCAUAAUGUUUUCCAUGUUUCGAUGUUGAGAAAGUAUGUGGCCGAUACAUCUCAUGUAGUAGACUAUGAACCCUUGGAGAUUGAUGAGCAUUUGAGCUAUGUAGAACAACCUGUGGAAAUUCUGGCUAGAGAGGUAAAGAUGCUUCGUAAUAGAAGCAUUCCAUUAGUAAAAGUUUUGUGGUGGAACCAUCGAAUGGAAGAGGCGACAUGGGAGCGAGAGGAAGAGAUGAGGACUCGUUAUCCAGAGUUAUUUCAGGAUUAAAACUUUCGAGGACGAAAGUUUCUUAAGGAGGGAAGAAUGUAAUGCCCCAAAGGUAUAUAUAUAUAUAUAUAUAUUUGUUUUUAUUUAUAUAUAUAUAUAUAUAUAUAUAUAUAUAUAUAUAUAUAUAUAUAUUUAUUUAUAUUUAAUUUAAAUAAAAAGAAAAGAAAAAGAAAUAUGUAUAUUUUCUUUUCUUUUUCCUUUUUCUUUUCUUUUCUCUUUUCUCCUUCCUCCCCGUGCGCCCUUUCCCUUCUCUCCGUCCGCAGCCAGUAACCGCCGACCUUCUCCUCUUCUUCUUCCGUUCGCAGCAGCCGUCGGCCGCCACGUGACCGCUGCCCAGUCCAGAUCUGCGUCGUAGCCCAGCAACCGCCACCCCUAUUCCCUUCUUCCGCCGUGCGCCGCGACUUCCAUUUUCUUCCCGCCGCAGCCAGCCGCCGAUCCUUUCCCUUCCGUUUUCCUCCCGCCGUAGCCCAGCCGCAGCCAGCCGCCGCCGCCGAUCCUUCUCUUCCGUUGUCUGCACUGUCGCGCGACUCUCCGGCCGUCUGUAUACGGUCUCUCCGUCGCACGUCGUCUCUUCGCAAAGCUGCUGCUCGACUUCUUCCGCGAAUAACACCUUUGACGUCCGCGCAAUCAGGUUUUCAUUCGCUACCGUGAAGCUGCCGUGAACCGAACUAAAGACCCCAGAUCCAACUUUCUGCGUGUCGAGUUCCUUCUUCGUCCUGCCGCAGGUAGCAAACCCACGUCAUUCGAUUGGGUUAUUCGUUGUCGUUCCUACUUUGCCACGAGUCAUUAAAUUCUGAUUGGUAAGAUUGAGGUUAUGAAAUUCGUAACUGUUUCCAAAAUAAACUCAAGUAAUAUUGCUGGACUAAUUGGUUGGAGAAAUCGUUUACUGUUCGGUUAUAGGUUGAAGGUAACGCUCGAAUUCCUUGGGUUCGCAGCAAACAAUCAUUCUAGUUUGAACUCGUUUCGCGAAGAUUUGGGUAAGUUGUAAAAAUUCACAUUGGAUUGAAUUUAAAUGAUUGAUGCGUUAAAGAGAAUUAUUGAGAAAUUUUCUUAAUGUUUAGGUUCGUUCUUCGUAGACUUCAACGUGGUUAAGGAGCUUAACUAACUUGAAAGUAAGGGACUUUCUACUGGACUC
rnacentral:lncRNA from 1 species